rnacentral:rRNA from 1 species
CCUACGGGUGGCAGCAGUGGGGAAUAUUGGUCAAUGGAGGAAACUCUGAACCAGCAACGCCGCGUGAAUGAUGAAGGUCUUCGGAUUGUAAAGUUCUUUUCUAAGGGAAGAAGAAAGUGACGGUACCUUAGGAAUAAGCCUCGGCUAACUACGUGCCAGCAGCCGCGGUAAUACGUAGGAGGCGAGCGUUAUCCGGAAUGACUGGGCGUAAAGGGUGCGUAGGUGGUUUGACAAGUUGGUAGCGUAACUCCGAGGCUCAACCUCGGCACUACUACCAAAACUGUCGGACUUGAGUGCAGGAGGGGAAAUUGGAAUUCCUAGUGUAGCGGUGAAAUGCGUAGAUAUUAGGAGGAACACCGGCGGCGAAGGCGGCCUGCUGGACCGUAACUGACGUUGAGGCUCGAAAGCGUGGGGAGCAAACAGGAUUAGAUACCCCAGUAGUC